rnacentral:lncRNA from 10 species
UCUCCACUUUUCCUUCUGCCUCUGAGCAAGAUGAAGAAAAAAAGAUGAAGCUGUUUUCCAGAGACCAGCACUUCAUCCCUGAGAAAAUGUCAAGAUUAUAGGCAUGCUCUAUAGAAGAUAAUGAGUUAAUACCGGGAAAAAAAUGGCAGCAUACUGAAACGGUAAAUGGAAAGGCCAUGUUUUUUGAGUGACACCAUUAGAGUAAAAACUAGCCAGA